rnacentral:rRNA from 1 species
UACGUAGGUGGCAAGCGUUGUCCGGAAUUAUUGGGCGUAAAGCGCGCGCAGGCGGCCUCCUAAGUCCGAUGUGAAGGCCCACGGCUCAACCGUGGAGGGUCAUUGGAAACUGGGGGACUUGAGUGCAGGAGAGAAGAGUGGAAUUCCACGUGUAGCGGUGAAAUGCGUAGAGAUGUGGAGGAACACCAGUGGCGAAGGCGACUCUUUGGCCUGUAACUGACGCUGAGGCGCGAAAGCGUGGGGAGCAAACAGG